rnacentral:rRNA from 1 species
UAAGAACGCUACUCUCUAUGAUGAAGCUUUGUUUCGAAGUGAUUUUAUAUACUUUUUGAAAAUGAAUGUGGGACUCGGUCCACUGGAGGACCAGUGUGUCGCCGGUUCACCCGUUCUCUCCUCUGGAUUCCCAUUUCUGCUAUUGAGUUAGUGGGAAUGUCACAGGAGAUUGUAAUCACAUUUCAUUUCGGUGAAAUAUGGUUAUGAUUUCUGGGGCCCAGAUCGUUUACCGUGAAAAAAUUAGAGUGUUCAAAGCAGGCAGAUUUAACCAUUCUGCCACCGAAUACAUUAGCAUGGGAUAAUGGAAUAGGACCCUGUCCUCCUAUUUAUCGUGUUGGUUUUUGAGGACCAGGGUAAUGAUUAAUAGGGAUAGUUGGGGGCAUUAAUAUUUAAUUGUCAGAGGUGAAAUUCUGGAUUUAUGAAAGAUUAACUUCUGCGAAAGCAUCUGCCAAGGAUGUUUUCAUUAAUCAAGAACGAAAGUUAGGGGAUCGAAGACGAUCAGAUACCGUCGUAGUGUUAACCAUAAACGAUGCCGACCAGCGAUUAGGAGACGUUGAAUACAAAACACCACCUUAACACGAUCGUUUUUUGGCAAAUUGCGCCUCGUCACGCAUGUGCGCGUUUGUUUUUGGAGGGAACGCUAUUUUUGUUGAUCGGACAAAUG